GGGGGUGCCCCGGUUUCGACUGGCACGGUCCGGAUCGUGGGUCGCAGGUGGAGUGCCGUACUCCUACUCAGCGGCAAAACCUUAAUUGCCAACAACAACGGCAAUUUCGCCCUCGCUGCGUAAGCACCGAUGACGACGGGCCCCAUGGCGCGCUGUUCCGAGCGCCAUGACGGCCUGCAACCCAACCGGGACUUGCCCCACGCCCAGCCCGCGGGACGUGGGGGACAACCAGCGGGAUACGGAAGCGGCCGCGCGGCGGUUCGCCCUCCGCUUCCCGACAACCUUAAAAGCCGCCUAAACCUGUAGACGCCCUCGUUUCGCGUUUCAGGACGCGGGUUCGACUCCCGCCACCUCCAAAA
rnacentral:tmRNA from 1 species